rnacentral:rRNA from 1 species
AUUGAACGCUGGCGGCAGGCCUAACACAUGCAAGUCGAACGAGUGGCGGACGGGUGAGUAAUGUCUGGGAAACUGCCCGAUGGAGGGGGAUAACUACUGGAAACGGUAGCUAAUACCGCAUACCAUCGGAUGUGCCCAGAUGGGAUUAGCUAGUAGGUGGGGUAACGGCUCACCUGGGCGACGAUCCCUAGCUUGUCUGAGAGGCUGACCAGCCACACUGGAACUGAGACACGGUCCAGACUCGUACGGGAGGCAGCAGUGGGGAAUAGUGCACAAUGGGCGAAAGCCUUAUGCAGCCAUGCCGGGUGUAUGAAGAAGGCCUUCGGGUUGUAAAGUACUUUCAGCGAGGAGGCGUGACUCGAAGAAGAAGCACCGGCUAACUACGUGCCAGCAGCCGCGGUAAUUC